GAUGAAGAACGUAGUGAAAUGCGAUAAGUAAUGUGAAUUGCAGAAUUCAGUGAAUCAUCGAAUCUUUGAACGCACAUUGCGCCCCUUGGUAUUCCGAGGGGCAUGCCUGUUCGAGCGUCAUUAUAACCCCUCAAGCUCAGCUUGGUGUUGGGGCCUGCUGCACUGGCAGCCCUUAAAAUCAGUGGCGGCGCCAUCUGGCUCUAAGCGUAGUAAUUCUUCUCGCUAUGGAGUCCUGGUGGAUGCUUGCCAUCAACCCCCAAUUUUUCUAUGGUUGACCUCGGAUCAGGUAGGGAUACCCGCUGAACUUAAGCAUAUCAAUAAGGGGA
rnacentral:misc_RNA from 1 species